UGCUUUGUUGUGUGUGCGUGAGGCGCGGGCGCGAUCAAAUAGCUGUCUUUGCAGGGGACUUCCCUCAUUGUCAUGGAAACGGUUCGUUAACAGGUCAGAUUACGUCAGAGUUGGUUGCCGUCUGUUGGAAAACUGUUCACACCGCGCAGACAUUCCACGACCCGACAAACGCCGAUUAAACAUGUUCAGUCGGGUGAAAACCAAUUCCGACCAACGCCAACAACGGCCAACAAACGCCAACAGGGGUAUCACACCAAACCAACAAACUCCAACAGACGAGUUUGUUGGCGUUUGUUGGCCGUCGUCGGGGCGGUGUGAAUUGUCCUAAAAGGUUUAUUAAUUUAGAGUCAGUCUGUUGUUCGUUAUCUGGCUCGGCUCGGUGUUCAUCAGUUCUCUCUUCACAGCAGUUCAGUCAGUGUACUGUUUGAGUACAUGAAUUACUCGGGGAUAUUGGUUUGUUUGAACUCAGAGGGAGUGUCAGCCACAUUAAAAAAGUUAACAGCUUAAGUCAUUUGUGGAUUAAUGCGUAUUGGAGACGCGAACCGUUUAAAACGAUUCAGUUCGAUUUGGUGAACUGGUUCAAAAAGAUCCGGUUACAUCGAAUGAUUCGUUCGCGAACCGGAUAUCACAAACUGCUUUGUUUUGAACUCUCUCUCACAACAGACACGGAAAAGAAGAAAAUGCUGAAUAAAGUCGUAGUUUUUGCUAUUUUUGGACCAAAAUGUUUUUUCGAUGCUUCAAAAAAUUCUAACUGACCCUCUGAUGUCACAUGGACUACUUUGAUGAUGUUUUUCUUACCUUUCUGGACACACAGAGAGCUCUUGGACUAACUUAAAUCUAAAAUAUCUUAAACUGUGUUCCAAAGAUAAACGGAGGUCUUACGGGUUUGGAACAACAUGAGGGCAACCCUCACAGGGAAAGGAAAAAAAGGCGAGCUGAAGGAGCAGCUUGAGCCAGAAAAAAACAACGCAAUUUUAGAUGCAGUGAGGGAGCGAUUCCCCAACACCGAGGUGGCAGAGAUCCGGGCCCUUCUACGGAGGAAGUGCAACAAUGAGAGCUAAAAGGCCUCUAGUAACUCAAGUCAGAGCUACAGGUGCUGGUCAUAUAAUUAGAAUAUCGUGAAAAAGUUCAUUUUUUUUAUUGUAAAUUAUUUUUAAAAAUGAAACUUUCAUAUAUUCUAGAUUCCCUACAUGUAAAGUAAAA